rnacentral:rRNA from 1 species
GUCGGGAAUAUUGCGCAAUGGAGGAAACUCUGACGCAGUGACGCCGCGUAUAGGAAGAAGGUUUUCGGAUUGUAAACUAUUGUCGUGAGGGAAGAAGAUGACAGUACCUCAGGAGGAAGCUCCGGCUAACUAUGUGCCAGCAGCCGCGGUAAUACAUAGGGAGCAAGCGUUAUCCGGAAUUAUUGGGUGUAAAGGGUGCGUAGACGGGAAAUUAAGUUAGUUGUGAAAUCCCUUGGCUUAACUGAGGAACUGCAACUAAAACUGAUUUUCUUGAGUACUGGAGAGGAAAGUGGAAUUCCUAGUGUAGCGGUGAAAUGCGUAGAUAUUAGGAGGAACACCAGUGGCGAAGGCGACUUUCUGGACAGUAACUGACGUUGAGGCACGAAAGUGUGGGGAGCAAACAGG